rnacentral:lncRNA from 1 species
UUUAGGUGCCUGCUAAUUUAUAAAAUGGGAUUUUCUUGAAGGAAAGCAAAAAUAGAGAUUUCCCAAACUGUUGAAAAUUUGCCAGCAGACAGAGAGGAAGUUUCCUAUAUUUUUCACCCUAGGUCUACCUCUGUCCCUUUUUUGGGUAAAGUGACGGUGUAGACUUUCGCGUGAAGCAAAGCGGGCUUGUCACUCACUGCUUCUGCUUCUUCCUGGGCAUCAGGCUGCAAUUCUCAAACUUCUAAACAAGUCACACCUCCUCCAAAAUGUAGUCCCAAGAAGGAAAGAAUUAAGGAUUCUGCAGUCCCUGUCUUCUUCUUCUUUUUUUUUGCCAGAAAAUCAUCUUCAGGUGAACAAACGCAGAAGGUGGAGCAAAAGCCUUGGACCUUGUGAUGAGGAGGCUUUUUGGAGAUGUGACUCUGUAGAAGCAGGCAUCUUGCAGUGUCAGGGGUUUAAAUUAAAGCCGGGUCGGGGAGGGAAAAGGGGAGAGACCAUCCCCGCGCCUGCAGCGUUGACUCCUGGCAUCAUUUCGGUGCAGGGACCCAGCUGACACUUCUUAUUUUGGGUCCUGCCUCCCCAGCAGCAGUCUGCAACUUGCCGGCAUCCUGGCAGGACAGCAGCCGGCAGCCGCUGAGCAGAGGAGAGAGAGAGUCAGCGGUUUCUCUGCUGUGCCCAUUCUCAGCAGAUCUGGUUAAGGAUCAGAAGCUACCUGUCCUCUUAUGCAUACGAACUUUAGCCCCACACAUGAAAGAUACUUUGAAGUCAUCUGAUGGCAGCCCAAGCUCAGAGACAAGGAUCGUGAAGCCGAGAGGUUAACUGACUUGCCCAAAGGAGACAGGAAGCACAAGGGCACGUCUGUGAGUCCCUGGGAUGUGUUUCAACCAGCACGUCAAACAAGGACAAAGUCAUCAGCGCUGGACCCAUCGAGUACCCUGACUCCAGUGAAACAGGACAAGGUCUCCCAGGCAACCUUGGAAGCUCCGAGGGACUCCAGGUCACUAAGAAGCCUCCGCUUAGCACUUGUGCUCAGCCUAGUGGCCUGAGCACCACAUUCGGUUGCAUCUGCCCAUCUCUAUCUUCCCCUCUGGAUGUCUGUACUAAUAGAUUCUGUUGGGGACACCAGUGCCCACGGGUCUCUGGAAGGUACACGCACUCUCAGGCAUCUCCUGGGGACUGCAAUGCCUUAACUCGAAGGAGAAGUCCCUCCCAGCAAAGUCCCUUUUUGGAGAGAAGGCUGGUGAAGGAGACUGGAACAGCCUGCCAGGCACCUGCAGGCCACCUCCCUGCACACCUGGUGCUGGAAUUGCAUUGGUUUUCACAACUGCUUUGCUUCUUGGCUUCCCCAGCUCCCUGGAGGCCCAAAGCAGCUGCUCUCCCAAGGCGUUCCUACCAGGGAAGGAGACCCAGCUCCAGCAAAGAUGUCCUGUGAGUGCCCUUUAUCUCUUCCAGAUGCUUGCUACACAUGAUUUUCUGAAGGCUGUGCUAAGCAUUCUUUCUAUUUAUAGAAAGAUAGAGGUGAUGCUAACCUGACAAACUAAGGGGAAAGGGGUGAUGGCUGCAAAUACAGAAGUUGGUAGCAUCCGCCCAAAGGGUUGAGGACGGGUGUUGGUGUGGCCGGCCAGAGAAGGGGUUCCAGUAAGUACAGGGGCCUGAGGCAUCAUUCAUAAGCGUCAUCCCCAUGGUCCUAUGUUGGAAUGUCUAUAUAUUCUAGGAUCUGGGAGGCUUUCCAGCUCUCUCGUUGACCUCAGCAUUCCUUUGGGGGUAGACUUACUUUAGGUGGGUGGCUCAUUCCACCAAUUACUGUAUCUCUUUAACAUCUGUCCCAUUUCGUGGGGGUCCUAACCUGUCUUGGCAUUUUUUUCUUUUUUCUGGCCAUGCUUCGCAGCAUGUGGGAUCUUAGUUCCCCAAUCAGGGAACAAAUCCAUGCCCUUUAAAUUGGAAGCACAGAAUCUUAACCCCUGGACCUCCAGGGAAGCCCCAUGUCCUUGGCAUUUCUGUAACAUUCCCCACUCAACAACCUCAAAGCCCAGGCAUGGAACUGUGUUCAACCAACCCUCCAAGGAUGACCCUCUCUUCUAUAGGACAAGCCACUUUUCCUUCUGGCAUGGGUUGACUUUUCUUUUUCUUCUUCUUCUUCUUUUUUUUUUUGUUUUCCUUUCUAAUCAAUAGAAUAAGGCAGUUAUCUACAUCAGAAAUAAAAUGCUUCUGGGAAUUCCA